GUGGGGCUCUAGUGGGUGGGCAAGGCCAGGCAGGGGUCCGGGCAGGAAGUACCCUGUUAGCAGCUGGGCCCAGGCUGUGGGGAACAGAUGAGAGUCGGGCCUCCCUCCCCCAGCAGGCGUGCCCCUUUGGAUCCAAGGGCCCAAGGCUCCAGGAGGGGGAGCAGGGAGGUGUCUGGGCAGCUGGGCCUGGCUUCCUGGGCCUCCUCAAGGCUCCAGCCUCCCUCGUAGGGGUGGGGGCACCGGGGGGGCGGGACGCUGGGCCCAGCAGGGCUGAAGCACAUCCCCACCCUCUCUGAGCUUAUCUCUGUCCCUGUGAAAAGGGAAGAGCCAUGCUGCCACCAAAUGGCAAGCGUUUUGCAAAAGAUGCACGUGUAUGAAAGAUGGUGACUGGGCUUGGGUCUCCGCCACCACCGUCCCCUCCCUGUGGUCAGGGAGCUGGGCUCAGGAGGCCUUCGGGGUACGAGAGGAAGAAGGGCCACGACAGAGCUCUGCAGACUCACCGGCCGUCAAGGCCAAGGGCAGCCUGCUGAUCAGGGUUGAUAGCGCCUCUCUGCCUCACUGCCGGCCGACCAUGGGCCUUCCAAAUGAUCAGAAAGAACACGCACGUACACACAGCAGAGAACAACUCACACCAUAGAGGGAAAGAUUUCAAAAGACGCACCACAACCCAAAAGGGGGCCCAAGAAGGAACCGAAUUUGUCCAGAGGCAAACACCAGCAUCGGAGCAUCUCUGGCUUGAGAGAGGAGCACAGCAGUCCACCCUGGCUGGCUUGACGAUGAUUCACACUGCCUGGAUUCCAGUUCUGCCCCGAGCGCUUCUUGGCUGGUGAUCUUGGAUAAUUUAGCUGAUACACAUCUCAGUCUCCUCACUCACUGUUGUUGUUCACUUGAUCGGUUGUGUCAGACUGGGACCCCAUGGACUACAGCACGCCGGGCUUCCCUGUCCUUCACCAUCUCCCCGAGUUUGCUCAGACUCAUGUCCAUCGAGUUGGUGAUGCCAUCCAACCAUCGCCUCCUCUGUCGCCCCCUUCUCCUCCUGCCCUGAAUCUUUGCCAGCAUCAGGAGCUUUUCCAAUGAGUCCGCUAAACCCCGCCAAUGCUGUAGGACUGCGGUGGGGAUUGAAUGAGUCAGAGCAGGGGAGGUGUCGCUCCUCACACGUGCUCAGCAUGUAAUCCACCGUUGCCAUCGUGCGAUUAUUUUAAUCACGUGACGCACGCUGCAUGCUGUCAGGGACUGUGAGCCCCUUGAGGGAGGGGCCACGUCACCAUCGGUGCCUGGAGGAAGUGCGGCUCAGAGAAGGUGGACGGGAUGCUUGACCUGCAGCCUGGAAGGGUCAUGUUCACAGGAAGAGGAAGAAGGUUACGAUUCCUGGGGCAGUGAAGCUGCCCUGCAGGUGCUGGGCACAGCAGGUGCCAGUCCGGACGCCAGCUCGGCCUUACCACUCCUCCCCACCUUGGCAGAGCUAGGUGGUCCCCGCUUUGCCGAUCCCACGCUGGGCACCACAUCUGGAGCCGAACCCCUCCUUCCUGGUGCUGAGCCCAGCGUGACAGGGAGCCCAACCGCCUCCCCCAGGGAGUAGUUCUGGCAAUGGCAGGGGCUCUCUGGCGCUGCCCCAGGCCAAGUGUCAGCCAGCAGAAAUGCGGCUGGCUCACCCCCAAUUCUGGAGGAGCCCCCAAGGGAGCAGGGGAAGAGGGCUGGCUGGGACGCCGCUGGGCACAUGUCCAGUGUGUGGCAUCUGUGCGGAUCCCCAGGUCUCCGGGGGUGCCAGUGAGCAGCAAGACUCUGCCCUAGCCUGCCCUGACCGACCCCGGGCCUUCCCAUCCCUGAUGGACAGAGGGCCUGGCAUGCAUGUUUGGCCCAUAUAGACAGACACAUGGGAGCCCCCUAUUAGAAGCCACAUGGAAGGUAAGAAAAGGUGGGGGGCCAAGAAAGACCUCUGCAGCAAGUCCUCUGAGCGGACCUGGCACCCGGGCCUGAGUGCCAGCAGGCAGUCCUGGAAAGGAUGGGGCGAGGGGAUUAAAGGACUGCAUCCCUUAUGCCUUAAAGGAAUGUAUCGUUUGCAGAAGGCAGCUUGCCCCUGGGGGCCAGGGGGCAAGGGGCACCUGCUGGCGCUCUCGUCAGCUGACACGGUCCCACAGGGGUGUGAGGGCGGUGGGGACAUAGCAGAGGCGCCCCCGAGGGAGCCACCGGCCAGAGAGAUGUUGGAGGAAGCCUUGGAAAAGACGUGGCCGCCAGCUGACCUGUGAGCUGGCCCCGAGCAGCGGGAGGCUCCCAGCCCCUCCCCUGUCCUUACCAUGUGCCUUCCACUAGCCCUCCCUGCUCUCAAAAGCUGCUUUUAAUUUUUCUGUGCUUUCUUUGAGAUAUAGUUAAUUUUCAAUACUACAUAAAUAUAGGUGUGCAGUGGGGUGAUUCACAAGUUUUCAAGGUUAGUGGGUAAGCACAAGAAUGAUACUCCACUUAUAGUUAUUAUGAAAUAUUGGCUAUACUCCCUGGGCUAUAUGAUAGAUCCUUCUAGCUUACUUAUUUUAUAUAUAGUAGUUCGUACCUCUCAACCCCCUACCCCUAUCUUGUCCCUUCUCCUUCCCCUCUCCCCACUGGUAACCACCAGUUUGCUCUCUACAUCUGUGUCUGCUUAUUCUUUGUUAUACUCUCUAGUUUACUGUAGUUUUUAGAUUCCACAUGUAAGUGAUAUCAUACAGCAUUUGUCUUUCCCUGUCUGACUUAUUUCACUUGGCAUAAUGCCCUCCAAGUCCAUCCACGUGACUACAAAUGGCAAAAUUUCAUUCCUUUUUAUGGCUGAGAAAUAUAUGUACCACAUCUUCCUUAUCCAUUCAUCUAUUGAUGGACACUUCAAUUGCUUAGCUUCCAAGAUCAGACACAAUCAAGUACAUUCAGGCUGGUAUGGCCGUAGACUCCCCUUGGGUCUGUAUUUGAAAAUGUCCAUAACAAGAGUUCCAUCUGGAUGUGUCUUAUGCAUGAACCAGUGAUGCCCUCUGUAGGCCCUGCUCUCUGGGGUUGGACUCUGAAUUUCUUGGGCUCAUUGUCCUUCUGUCCGGCUUGGGAACUGAACUGCUUUGGGAAGCCUGCAUUAGCAGCAUCUGCGAUUUAGAGACUGUGGGCUGAGUGUUCACACUGUCUGUCCUUAACUAACUUACCUGGCCUGGUGGCAAAUAACCCAAGGCUGUCUCUAGAAUGGGCUCCAGCUGGGGGUCAGUCAGAGGCCCCAGCAGAUUCUGGCCCUUGGGGAGGAAUCUGACCACAUCAAACAAAGCCCAGGACCACCCACAACCACACACACACACACACACACACACACACAGAGGCAUAGCUGAGCUGGGCCCCGGAGAAGCUCUGUCCUAAGGACUCUGAGAUCUAGGGACCCAGCCCAUGCUCAAGUCCCCUUAACAUUAUCCCAGUGGUCAUCCAGCCUUGCCUGAAUACCUCUGCUGAUGGGGAUCUUCCUGGUUGGUAAUGGAACCUUCUUUCUCAGGAGAAAGAUCUAUUAGCGCCCACCUCCCCAGAACAGAGUCAGACUCCCUCUCCCCGAGGACAACCUCGCCUAGCCAGGCACCCAGGUACCUGGUGUCUCAGUCCCUGUCUGGGCGGGUCUCCCGAGCCUGCUCCGGGUGGUCAGUGCCCCUCCAGGAUGCAGGACCCAGCACAGAAACUCCUAUUCCUGGGACAGCCACAGGGCCGACUUUCACCUCCUUCAUUACGGACACUCUGCUUCUGCUAAUGUGGCCCAGGGUCUCACUAGCCUUUUGGCAAACCUUAUCGUGUUGAUAUUUCACACGCAGUGUGACUGCGUGUGAAACUGGCAGUUUCCAGUCAUUUAAAUGCCAGAUCCUUGUCGGGAAGGCUGCUCUGUACUGUGCCUCUUUCAUCUCCUACUUGGGCAGCUUUUUCCCCCUUAAAGUGUAGAAUUCCUGUUCCGGUGGCUAGAUGGUAAAGAAGCUGCCUGCAAUGCAGGAGACCCAGAUUCGAUCCCUGGGUCAGAAAGAUCCCCUGGAGAAGGGAACGGCUACCCACUCCAGUAUGCUUGCCUGGAGAAUCCCAUGGACAGAGGAGCCUGGUGGGCUACAGUCCACAGGGUUGCAAAGAGUUGGACACGACCGAGUGACUAACACACACAGAGUCAAGAACAUUAUGGUCCCAGAAAAAAUAUAAUACAAGCUUGCUAUGUUACUUCUAAUUUUCUGGCCAUAUUGAAAAAGUAAAAAGAAAGAGGAAA